rnacentral:rRNA from 1 species
CAGCCCUAAACGAUGCGCGUUAGGUGUAUCGGUGACCACGAGUCACCGAGGUGCCGAAGGGAAACCGUGAAACGUGCCGCCUGGGAAGUACGGUCGCAAGGCUGAAACUUAAAGGAAUUGGCGGGGGAGCACCACAACGGGUGGGGCUUGCGGUUUAAUUGGAUUCAACGCCGGAAAUCUUACCGGGACCGACAGCAACAUGAAGGCCAGGCUGAAGACUUUGCCGGAUUAGCUGAGAGGAGGUGCAUGGCGUAGUCGUGU